CCCAAAAACGUUUUUCGUCACCCGCCAGUAACUUUUUUUCCCGGAGUGAUUACCUUUUCAUCAAUUAGGUAUUGAGUGUACAAGCAAGAGAUUUGCUUUUUUAGAAAGAUUACCAAAAACUGUGUUGAAGAGGAAAGACUGGCGUUGUGUUACAAUUGAAAGAGCCAUUGAAAUGGUUUUAAAAGAAGUAAGAAGAGUUACCAAUGUGUGAAUCCCAUUUUAUAUACCAAGAAGAAGUCUGUAAAGCUACAUUGACAGAAAGAAGAAGGGAAUUUCUUCAAUUAUUGGAACAGAUAUCUAGAAAAAGUGCCUGCAAACUUAAAUGUGGUUUCUCCAGGUUAUACCAGGUUUUCAUAGAUGAAGAAAGGACUAUACUAGUUCAUUGUUUCCAUCGAUAAGCAGACAUUUAUGUUUUCCUGUCCUGUGUAAGAAAGCUUUCAAUUUACGCCCACAAUGAAUCUCCAAUUACCACUAACCAACAUCGACAAAACUUGAACUAGGUCAGACUUGUUGACUCAAGAGAUUUUAUCCAGAAGUUGCAGUGCAGUGUCUCAUUUACACACCACAGAAGAAUCGUGUUAUGCUUAAAAACAAGAUUAAUUCAGUGUAUGUUUUUAAAAGUUGGUUUAUGGGUUCGUGGUGUGAAUGUGAAUGUGAAAACAUUUUGUGUGUGUGUGUAGCAUGUCCCAAAUGCUGUGUAAAAAUGCAAUGCCAACUUGCCCCAAUUCAUUGGGCAACUUACCCCGUAGUUGGGGCAAGUUGCCCAUUUUAGGUGUCGCAUUAAAACGUAUUUUUUGGCAUAAACUUUUCCUUUUCUUAGAA
rnacentral:lncRNA from 1 species